rnacentral:rRNA from 1 species
UAGGGAAUCUUCCACAAUGGGCGCAAGCCUGAUGGAGCAACACCGCGUGAGUGAAGAAGGGUUUCGGCUCGUAAAGCUCUGUUGUUAAAGAAGAACACGUAUGAGAGUAACUGUUCAUACGUUGACGGUAUUUAACCAGAAAGUCACGGCUAACUACGUGCCAGCAGCCGCGGUAAUACGUAGGUGGCAAGCGUUAUCCGGAUUUAUUGGGCGUAAAGAGAGUGCAGGCGGUUUUCUAAGUCUGAUGUGUAAGCCUUCGGCUUAACCGGAGAAGUGCAUCGGAAACUGGAUAACUUGAGUGCAGAAGAGGGUAGUGGAACUCCAUGUGUAGCGGUGGAAUGCGUAGAUAUAUGGAAGAACACCAGUGGCGAAGGCGGCUACCUGGUCUGCAACUGACGCUGAGACUCGAAAGCAUGGGUAGCGAACAGGAUUAGAUACCCUGGUAGUCCAUGCCGUAAACGAUGAGUGCUAGGUGUUGGAGGGUUUCCGCCCUUCAGUGCCGGAGCUAACGCAUUAAGCACUCCGCCUGGGGAGUACGACCGCAAGGUUG